GACCCCGCACAAGCGGUGGAUUAUGUUGUUUAAUUCGAAGAUACACGAAGAACCUUACCAGGUCUUGACAUCCUCUGCAAAGCUAUAGAGAUAUAGUGGAGGUUAACAGAGAGACAGGUGGUGCAUGGUUGUCGUCAGCUCGUGUCGUGAGAUGUUGGGUUAAGUCCCGCAACGAGCGCAACCCUUAUUGCUAGUUACCAUCAUUUAGUUGGGGACUCUAGCGAGACUGCCAGUGAUAAACUGGAGGAAGGUGGGGAUGACGUCAAAUCAUCAUGCCCUUUAUGACCUGGGCUACAAACGUAAUACAAUGGCUAUGACAAAGAGAUGCAAGACCGCGAGGUGGAGCAAAACUCACAAAGAUAGUCUCAGUUCGGAUUGAAGUCUGCAACUCGACUUCAUGAAGUUGGAAUCGCUAGUAAUCGCAAAUCAGAAAGUUGCGGUGAAUACGUUCUCGGGGUUU
rnacentral:rRNA from 1 species